CUUAUUCCUAGCACAUGCACAUAUAUAGACUUCUUAGUCCAAGACAUGCACAGCAACAGCUCUCUAAGACACAAACCUUCCUUCCUUCCUUCUCUCUCUCUCUCUCUCUCUCUCUCUCUCUCUCUCUCUCUCUCUCUCUCACACACACACACACACACACACACAUCAAUAUUAGGGUUCUUGAUGGAGAAAGAAGAAUGCAGCAGUAGUGAAUCCGGUUGGACGACUUAUAUUUCGUCGCCAAUUAAAGUAGAUGAAGAUGACGUUGUGGAUGAGGGCUAUUAUGAAGGGUAUAACAUCUAUAACUACUAUAGAAAAGGAGAAAAUGAAGAAGAGAAGAAUAAAGAUAGCGAUGAUUCAAUGGCCUCGGAUGC
rnacentral:lncRNA from 1 species